rnacentral:rRNA from 1 species
GAUGAACGCUGGCGGCGUGCCUAAUACACGCAAGUCGAGCGAACAGACGAGGAGCUUGCUCCUCUGACGUUAGCGGCGGACGGGUGAGUAACACGUGGAUAACCUACCUAUAAGACUGGGAUAACUUCGGGAAACCGGAGCUAAUACCGGAUAAUAUAUUGAACCGCAUGGUUCAAUAGUGAAAGACGGUUUUGCUGUCACUAAUGGUUGGAUCCGCGCCGCAUUAGCUAGUUGGUAAGGUAACGGCUUACCAAGGCAACGAUGCGUAGCCGACCUGAGAGGGUGAUCGGCCACACUGGAACUGAGACACGGUCCAGACUCCUACGGGAGGCAGCAGUAGGGAAUCUUCCGCAAUGGGCGAAAGCCUGACGGAGCAACGCCGCGUGAGUGAUGAAGGUCUUCGGAUCGUAAAACUCUGUUAUUAGGGAAGAACAAAUGUGUAAGUAACUAUGCACGUCUUGACGGUACCUAAUCAGAAAGCCACGGCUAACUACGUG